GAGACUCGUCGACGCACCGCAGAUCAGGCGACUAGACGAGUGGUCGGACUUCAACAUGAACUAACGUCAAUUGCACGUUGUGCAUCAACAAAUAAUGCAGUGACAAUAGGAACAACUAAUAUAGGCCAGAUUUGGUCUUGUAAGAAGAUGGCGCCGUCUGGUUCGCGCAGUAUUAAAAGAAGCUGUAAGAGAGUUUUACACUGGAUCCCGGUUUUAUUCAUCUCCAUAAUUGUGGCAUGGUCUUACUACGCCUAUGUUGUCCAGCUUUGUAUUGAAUCAGUUGAAAAUCUUGGAGAGAAAAUUGUUUACCUCCUGGCAUAUCAUUUAUUUUUCAUCAUGUUUGUGUGGGCAUAUUGGCAAACUAUCUUCACCGAACCCAUGCAUCCCCUGAAAGAGUUCCAUCUGUCAUAUUCGGACAAAGAGCUGUUGGAACGAGUGGACCGAGGAGAGUCUCAGCAGGAGAUUUUGAGGAGGAUUGUCCGACAGGAUUUACCCGUCUACACGCGCACAAUGUCAGGAGCUAUUCGUUUUUGUGAUCGCUGCAUUUUGGUGAAGCCAGACCGCUGUCAUCACUGCUCAGUCUGUGAUAAGUGUAUCUUGAAGAUGGAUCACCACUGUCCAUGGGUGAAUAAUUGUGUCGGCUUCUCCAACUACAAGUUUUUCAUGCUGUUUCUAGCAUACUCUUUACUCUAUUGCCUUUUCAUCACUGCAACGGACCUGCAGUACUUCAUCAAAUUCUGGUUGGCCGGGGGUAAAGCACAUGAACGACUAAAGGAAUAUUUGAGUGGCCUGCCAGACACCCAGGCCAAGUUCCACAUUAUGUUCUUGUUCUUCGCUGCCUCUAUGUUCUCUGUCAGUCUGGCAGCACUGUUUGCCUACCACUGCUGGCUAGUUUGUAAAAACAGAUCAACUCUCGAGGCUGUUCGGGCCCCUGCAUUCCGUCAUGGACCUGAUAAAAACGGCUUCAGCUUGGGCCUCAGCAAGAAUGUCCGCCAGGUCUUUGGCGAUGAGAAGACGUAUUGGCCAAUACCCGUUUUUUCAAGUUUAGGAGAUGGCUGCUCCUUCCCUACCUGUCUUGUAAACCAGGACCCUGAACAGCCUUCUACGCCCCCUGUCCAAAGCCCACCCAACAAAAGUGUGGGAGAGCCCCCUCAGUUCCCUGCCAAGCCCCUGAGAGAGUCUCAGAGUCGGCUGCUCAACAGUGGAGAGUCAUGGCGGGAGAGCAAAGGACCUGGGGACAGAGAGCGGACUGGUGAGACGACAGCAGCCGGAUAUCCACCCGUUGGCCUUUAUGGAGCCUGUCGGACAUAGAGCUUAGCUUACUGAAUGCUGAUGUACACCAAAUCCAGCUCUGACUAUAGAAAAUGAAUUGUAGAUGGAAAAUGUGAAGAUUUUUCUUGAGAAAGAAGAGGUCCCUGUAAAUGGACAGAACAGGAGGUCUUCUGAGUGCCUACACGGAUGUGUUGGCCGUGGUAAUGAUCUGUACUGUUAUCCACAAGCUUUGUACAAGUUGCUUCAGUACAACGCACCCUGCAAGGGGCUGUUUCUGCCACCAGAGCUUAUCGACAACCGUGCUUGAAUUUGCUCUAUGAAUUUUGUGUCCUUACAGAAAUCUGAAGACCAGAUGUUUUCUGUCAGAGAGUAAAGUGUGUUUAUUAACACAGCUAUUCUGAAUGCCUAGGACAGACGUAUGUUAAUGCAUGUACUUCAUUUUGAUGUAUUUUAUGUAUGUUCAAGUACAAACUGUCAGAAGGGCUGGAAAGUUGUCUUUUAAGGGUAUGUGGAGGGAAACUUAAACUCCCAGUGAUGGAGUGUUUGGUAACCUUGUUAAUUUCAUGAAAUCAGGGUUGGUCAUGUGUUUCAGCUAAUGCAAAAAACAACAUUUGUGAUUACAAAAGCACAGUAGACCACUAGAUUGAUGCUCGUGUCCUGCAUAUAAUACAAAUUACUUCCUAAAGGUCCUAAGGCUGUCACUGUUCUCUGUGGCGCCUCCUAGCUGUCAGCACGGGACAUGUACAUUUACAAAGGACAUCAGAGGAUACCGACCAGUGCUCUCGCCUUUUUAAAUCCUUACAAAUAGGCAGGAAGGAGAAGAUUAGGUCAUUUUGAAUGUCUUACAAGAUAGUUUUUUUUACUAUUGACAGGUGUGAGAGUGUGUAUUGAGUAAUAAGGGAGACACAGGGUUGACAUUACAGGAGAAUUCCCCCACAUUUUCAAACUGUCUGUGAUGCUCCACUAUUUAACGUCUGAUCAUAUGCAUCAAAAGUAUUUUGAAGCAAAUCUGAAUAUUCCUUAAGAACUUAAUUGUUCCACAAUUGUUUUUUACAUUAAACAUGGGAGGGCAGUUACCAUAGCAACAUACACCAGAAACUGCUGGCUAGGGGUAGCCUAUAUAUCAUUGGUUUGCUAACUUUUACACAACUAUCAAAAACAGAUAUAGCAGGAUAUAAUCCUGUGAAACAAUCUAAGGCUACCGUUAGCAUAUUCAUAACCAUUCCACAUAGGAACUGGCUGACAUGAAGCUUUUAGAGGUUCGAUUACUCUGGGAUCCAUGUCCAGUUCACAGAGUGAAUAAACAGGUCCACAACGCUCCUAUCAGCUUCAAAGUACAAUUGAUACAAUUCUACAGCAGUCAGUUGACAUACCACUGAAGUGAAAAGUAUGUAUCUGUGGCCCUAGUUCUUUUGUACAUUUCAGUAUUUUUGUAAUUCAAAUGUUUACUGUGCCAUGUCUGGUUUACUUGUUGCAAUGGCAAAUAUAUUUGAAAUUUUUCGUUUGAAGAAUGUUAGUAAUUAUUAUAUGCUUGAUGAAUUAAACAUAAUUGAAUACAUAUGAAUGAUUGCUAUUGCGUAAAAACUUCUAAGUCUUGUACUUGAUCCCCCUAUAAUUUUAACCCUGCUCUAAGGAAUACAAAUACCUUCACAGCAAAAAUGACUCCUCUCCACUGACUCCUGAUACCACCUGUUACUAGAGAAGUCAACUAACUCAAACAGCAAAUGACUGAAUCCUCUGAAUUGAGGACCAUAUUGUCUUUGAAUAUUUUCUAUGACACUGAAUACAAACUCUUUGAAAAUGUUAUUACAUGUAAAUGCAGAGUGCACUUUUCAAAUAGUUUUUUGGGCUAAUUGUAUGGAUUGUUCUAGCAAAUGUGCAUUGUAAUGUAUUUGUAUGAACAAUGUUCUUUUGUUACUAACAAAAGUUCCACAGCAUAUUGCAAAGCUUUGUCUCUGUAUAUGUAAAAAAAAAAAAAUACAAUGUCUUAUCUACAGAUGUAUUGCUUGUUUUAGUAUGGUAACAGCAUACAGCAACUUGCACUUGCAUAUUUCAUUCUUGAAUACACCAAAACCUUUGGAUAUAUGAUGAAGUAAACAUCUGAGGUGUU